rnacentral:rRNA from 1 species
UACUCUCGGGAGGCAGCAGUGGGGAAUAUUGCACAAUGGGCGCAAGCCUGAUGCAGCGACGCCGCGUGCGGGAUGACGGCCUUCGGGUUGUAAACCGCUUUUGAUCGGGAGCAAGCCUUCGGGUGAGUGUACCUUUCGAAUAAGCACCGGCUAACUACGUGCCAGCAGCCGCGGUAAUACGUAGGGUGCAAGCGUUAUCCGGAAUUAUUGGGCGUAAAGGGCUCGUAGGCGGUUCGUCGCGUCCGGUGUGAAAGUCCAUCGCUUAACGGUGGAUCUGCGCCGGGUACGGGCGGGCUGGAGUGCGGUAGGGGAGACUGGAAUUCCCGGUGUAA